rnacentral:tRNA from 1 species
GCCGCUAUGGAGAAAUUGGUAGACACGCGC